rnacentral:rRNA from 1 species
UACGUAGGUGGCAAGCGUUGUCCGGAUUUAUUGGGUUUAAAGGGUGCGUAGGCGGCCUGUUAAGUCAGUGGUGAAAUAUUUCAGCUCAACUGGAAUUGUGCCAUUGAUACUGAUGGGCUUGAGUACAGAUGAGGUAGGCGGAAUUGACGGUGUAGCGGUGAAAUGCUUAGAUAUCGUCAAGAACACCUAUAGCGAAGGCAGCUUACUAGGCUGUAACUGACGCUGAGGCACGAAAGUGUGGGGAUCAAACAGG